UAACGUUGGCGGCGUGCAUAACACAUGCAAGUUGAGCGUGGCCUUAGUUUACUAAGGUCUAGCAGCGGACGGCUGAGUAAUGCACAGGAACGUACCUCGAAGUGGGGGAUAGCCCUUCGAAAGAAGGGGUAAUACCGCAUGUGCUCGCAAGAGCAAAGCCGCAAGGCGCUUUGAGAACGGCCUGUGUCCUAUCAGGUUGUUGGUGGGGUAAUAGCCUACCAAGCCUAUGACGGGUAGCUGGUCUGAGAGGAUGACCAGCCAGAUCGGGACUGAGACACGGCCCGAACUCCUACGGGAGGCAGCAGUUGGGAAUUUUGCGCAAUGGACGAAAGUCUGACGCAGCGACGCCGCGUGGAGGAUGAAGGC
rnacentral:rRNA from 1 species